rnacentral:rRNA from 1 species
UACGUAGGGUGCAAGCGUUGUUCGGAAUUACUGGGCGUAAAGCGAGUGUAGGCGGUUCGAUAAGUCGGAUGUGAAAGCCCCGGGCUCAACCCGGGAAGUGCACUCGAUACUGUCGAGCUAGAGUAUCGGAGAGGUUGGUGGAAUUCUCGGUGUAGAGGUGAAAUUCGUAGAUAUCGAGAGGAACACCGGUGGCGAAGGCGGCCAACUGGACGAAUACUGACGCUGAGACUCGAAAGCGUGGGGAGCAAACAGG